rnacentral:lncRNA from 1 species
AGCUCCCCGCCCAGGUCCAAAAUCAAUUCACACCUCCCCAUUCCUGUCCUAUUAAUCACCUUGUCCCAGAGAAACCGCACUAGUCAACUCAGGCCAGGGCUAUAUUUUGCAGGCUGCAUUCCUCCCUGGUAAGACUGGGACCCUUGAGGAGGGGGUGAGCCUCUGCCUUCUUUAUGCAUCCUUCUGUUCCUGACCCAACCCAGGCAGUUCUCAGGAGCCCUGAGAGACUGGACACUGGACCAGAGGCAGCCUCCCUCCACGGCUGCCUUGCCUCCUCUGCUCUCCUCUGUCUCUUUUCUGCCCCUAAUCUUCUCUGUCUAUUCUUGAAUCUCUUUUCAAUUAAAAUAAAAUAAGCG